UAUUUGACCACAAGAGGGCGCAUUUCCAACAAUAACAAAGGCGAAGCUUGAUGACGCUAUGAAGCAGGUGACGAUGGGAGAUGUCGUUUUAAAUGCGUUUUCGCCAUAGCGAUGUAUCUAAAUUGGAUAAAAGAAUCAUGAUCACGGAUGAGGGAAACACAGAUACAUCCUCACUGGAAUUAUCAAAUCCAGAUGAGACCUGGAGUCCUCCUAAGAAUAUAAGGAAUGUAGCAUCACGGGGUAGAAGAGGACGAGCAUCCACAGGAAAGAGAAGAGGGACAGGAAGAGCAAAAGGGAUUGAAAGAGCGUACAGGGUGGAAAGAGAAAGUGAAGAAGUUGAAGUUGGCAGUGCAGCACAAGGAAGAGCAAGAGGCAGACAGAGGAGGGCUUACAAGUGGAACACGUACAGCUAGAGGCAGAGGAAAUACAGCAUCAUUGAGUGAAGAGGACAGAUUGAGGGUGGAUAGGCUUCGGGAGGACAGGAGGUUGAUGACACAAGAGAUUAUACAGGACAUGUCUUUGGAUGAUGCAUGAGGUCUUUUACUUCGAGUAUUUAAUAGAGAACCUGGCCUCAUCCUUGAUGUGCUUCAACCUAAUGCUCACAGAGAGGAUCAACCACUACAGGGUGUGCCUAGAUGGUGCUUCUGUACAAAUUGCAGGGAAAUGCCAUCCGAUGUAGAAAAUAAAUGCUGUGGAAUGACAGAGGCAACAUGUAUAAGCAAGCUUCCUCACAUGUCUUUGUACAUUUUUGAUGAACAUGUAUUGCGAUUGUAACACCGAUUGAGAAAUGAUAUUUAUGCACUACAUGACACACAGCAACCUGGGGAUGACAACCG